AACGAACGCUGGCGGCAUGCCUAACACAUGCAAGUCGAACGAGACCUUCGGGUCUAGUGGCGCACGGGUGCGUAACGCGUGGGAACCUGCCCUUAGGUUCGGAAUAACUCCCCGAAAGGGGUGCUAAUACCGGAUAAUGUCUUCGGACCAAAGAUUUAUCGCCUUUGGAUGGGCCCGCGUUGGAUUAGCUAGUUGGUAGGGUAAAAGCCUACCAAGGCGACGAUCCAUAGCUGGUCUGAGAGGAUGAUCAGCCACACUGGGACUGAGACACGGCUCAGACUCCUACGGGAGGCAGCAGUGGGGAAUAUUGGACAAUGGGCGAAAGCCUGAUCCAGCAAUGCCGCGUGAGUGAUGAAGGCCUUAGGGUUGUAAAGCUCUUUUACCCGGGAUGAUAAUGACAGUACCGAGAGAAUAAGCUCCGGCUAACUCCGUG
rnacentral:rRNA from 1 species